ACGCUGGCGGCGUGCCUAAUACAUGCAAGUAGAACGCUGAAGGAGGAGCUUGCUUCUCCGGAUGAGUUGCGAACGGGUGAGUAACGCGUAGGUAACCUGCCUGGUAGCGGGGGAUAACUAUUGGAAACGAUAGCUAAUACCGCAUAAUAGUAGAUGUUGCAUGACAUUUGCUUAAAAGGUGCAAUUGCAUCACUACCAGAUGGACCUGCGUUGUAUUAGCUAGUUGGUGGGGUAACGGCUCACCAAGGCGACGAUACAUAGCCGACCUGAGAGGGUGAUCGGCCACACUGGGACUGAGACACGGCCCAGACUCCUACGGGAGGCAGCAGUAGGGAAUCUUCGGCAAUGGACGGAAGUCUGACCGAGCAACGCCGCGUGAGUGAAGAAGGUUUUCGGAUCGUAAAGCUCUGUUGUAAGAGAAGAACGAGUGUGAGAGUGGAAAGUUCACACUGUGACGGUAUCUUACCAGAAAGGGACGGCUAACUACGUGCCAGCAGCCGCGGUAAUACGUAGGUCCCGAGCGUUGUCCGGAUUUAUUGGGCGUAAAGCGAGCGCAGGCGGUUAGAUAAGUCUGAAGUUAAAGGCUGUGGCUUAACAUAGUACGCUUUGGAAACUGUUUAACUUGAGUGCAAGAGGGGAGAGUGGAAUUCCAUGUGUAGCGGUGAAAUGCGUAGAUAUAUGGAGGAACACCGGUGGCGAAAGCGGCUCUCUGGCUUGUAACUGACGCUGAGGCUCGAAAGCGUGGGGAGCAAACAGGAUAAGAUACCCUGGUAGUCCACGCCGUAAACGAUGAGUGCUAGGUGUUAGACCCUUUCCGGGGUUUAGUGCCGCAGCUAACGCAUUAAGCACUCCGCCUGGGGAGUACGACCGCAAGGUUGAAACUCAAAGGAAUUGACGGGGGCCCGCACAAGCGG
rnacentral:rRNA from 1 species